rnacentral:rRNA from 1 species
GAUGAACGCUGGCGGCGUGCCUAAUACAUGCAAGUCGAGCGAACGGACGAGAAGCUUGCUUCUCUGAUGUUAGCGGCGGACGGGUGAGUAACACGUGGAUAACCUACCUAUAAGACUGGGAUAACUUCGGGAAACCGGAGCUAAUACCGGAUAAUAUUUUGAACCGCAUGGUUCAAAAGUGAAAGACGGUCUUGCUGUCACUUAUAGAUGGAUCCGCGCUGCAUUAGCUAGUUGGUAAGGUAACGGCUUACCAAGGCAACGAUGCAUAGCCGACCUGAGAGGGUGAUCGGCCACACUGGAACUGAGACACGGUCCAGACUCCUACGGGAGGCAGCAGUAGGGAAUCUUCCGCAAUGGGCGAAAGACUGACGGAGCAACGCCGCGUGAGUGAUGAAGGUCUUCGGAUCGUAAAACUCUGUUAUUAGGGAAGAACAUAUGUGUAAGUAACUGUGCACAUCUUGACGGUACCUAAUCAGAAAGCCACGGCUAACUACGUG